UCUAUGUUGGAUAGCUUCUGCUAUAGAGUAUUGACUUCUAGUUUUUGGUUCAAAGGAAGUUUUUUUUUUUUUUUUGCCUUCUGCCUUUUUGUUAAAUUAAAUCCUUUUGGUUUUCUGCACUUUGGUCCACCUCCCUUGUUUUUCCACAACCGUGACAGAAACAGCUCUGCCUGGUCCUACGCCCAGUCUGUUGUCAGUUUGUUCACAUAAUAAAGAGCUGUAAAGGUUACUGCAUCAGUUAUUCCUGAGGUGGUGCAGAGUUACAGAUUAUGGGCUGUAAACUAGGCAAUGAUGGUAGAGUCAACUGAUUAAACGGUAGACACUUGGAAUAAUGCGUGCGACGCUAAGCAGCGCAACGGGAAUGAGUGCCAUCAGUUGGGUCUCGAUCAGUUGGCUGCCUUGCCUGUUUGACAAGCUGCAGCUCUGUCACUAACCCUAACAGAUGUGAACAUGCUAACACCUGAUUUUCCACCUUCUCCGUGCACGAGCGGCCUGUCAGAGUCACGCUUUGCCUCACUGGCUCUGUCUCUGGAACAUGAGCAGCUGUACUCACAUCACUGGAGAACUACACGAUCAUGUUGGAAUCAAGAGAAAAGAGUGCCUACAACAUGUUACUUUCUCUUUCCGUGGUUGAUUUGUUUUUUGUUUGUUGCCUGUCUUGUCCUAAAGUUGAUAUAAAGUGAUGAAAAAUUCAA